CAGAGUCAAAAGAGGUUCUACCCAAAAUGUCAUACCACAAAAUGCCGCUGGAAAAGAAAAGGAGACUGCUGAUAAUACAGAAUUCGAAGAGAAAGACUUGUCAACAGUUGGGCCAGGUGAUAUGUUAAAACCCAGAGAAACUGGCUUUGUUCGGUCAUCAACAGAGGCUUUAACAUCUCUUGAUAAACAGCAUACCCAGUACAGACUGCAAGUUCAGACUGUUCAUAGUGUGCUGGCUAGUUUGGCCACAGUACAAAUAAAUCCAACAAUCAACUCUUCACUCCAGACCAGCCCUUCUACAACUUCACCACUUAAUGAAAACGCUGUAGACACUAGAAGUAGGAUGAUCCAAUUGGAUGCCAACAGGACUCGACUGGAAAUAGGUAGGUUCGGGACAACCACUACAGCUAAAAUUCAGCCAAAAAGACAGUUUACCACUUUACAAUCACAUAUUGAAACCACCUCUUUUAGCACAAGUACAACCAAUCUAGAACUAGAGGCACCAUCACCAGGAGUGGACAUCAUCACUUCCAACAAUUCACAACCAGAAAGCACUUCACAGUCAACAAAAUCAGCAAAAAUAUCCAAUGACCAUUCAAAGGAGCGAGGAACUAAAGGAACAGUGACCGAUAUAAAGAACACUAAAGGUAUACCAACUUUUCUAAGGACUGCCUCCCCUCUCCCGACUGGACAUGGCCAUUUUGUAUUCUCAGAAAAUGAUGGAAGAUUUACAGAGAAAGACCAGUCAGUCUCACAAGGAAUAGCCCCAUCUCUGAAGUCAAACCCUGCCUCUCCAACCUAUGCCCUACCCAAGGACCUCUGUGCUACUGGUGUGGGUCCCUGUGUUUUUUCCAAAGAUCAAAACAAUGAUGAAAAAUAUGGCGCAACAAAUGGGAGCUUUUUAGUGUGGGCGGACUUAAAACGCAC
rnacentral:lncRNA from 1 species